GGAUUUGAGUAAAGUAAUAUCUGACUGGGUAAGAGGACAUUUUAAUUUCUGACUUUAUAGUGCAUAUGACUCG